rnacentral:rRNA from 1 species
UACGGGGGGGGCAAGCAUUGUUCGGAAUUACUGGGCGUAAAGGGCUCGUAGGCGGCCAACUAAGUCAGACGUGAAAUCCCUCGGCUUAACCGGGGAACUGCGUCUGAUACUGGAUGGCUUGAGAUUGGGAGAGGGAUGCGGAAUUCCAGGUGUAGCGGUGAAAUGCGUAGAUAUCUGGAGGAACACCGGUGGCGAAGGCGGCAUCCUGGACCAACACUGACGCUGAGGAGCGAAAGCCAGGGGAGCAAACGGG